AUUGAACGCUGGCGGCAUGCCUUACACAUGCAAGUCGAACGGCAGCACGGGAGCAAUCCUGGUGGCGAGUGGCGAACGGGUGAGUAAUAUAUCGGAACGUGCCCGGUCGUGGGGAUAACGUAGCGAAAGCUACGCUAAUACCGCAUACGAUCUACGGAUGAAAGCGGGGGAUCGCAAGACCUCGCGCGAUUGGAGCGGCCGAUAUCAGAUUAGGUAGUUGGUGAGGUAAAGGCUCACCAAGCCGACGAUCUGUAGCUGGUCUGAGAGGACGACCAGCCACACUGGGACUGAGACACGGCCCAGACUCCUACGGGAGGCAGCAGUGGGGAAUUUUGGACAAUGGGCGCAAGCCUGAUCCAGCAAUGCCGCGUGCAGGAUGAAGGCCUUCGGUUGUAACUGCUUUUGUACGGUAACGAAAGGUUUACGUCUUAAUACGUAGGAGCUCAUGACGGUACCGUAACGAAUAAGACACCGGCUAACUACGU
rnacentral:rRNA from 1 species